GUUUAUUCAUCUGUGGUAACAUUUCUUACUUCCAAUGCCAGCUCUACCCCCAUGGAAUCGCUGCCUACUGGAAGUGCUGUCCCCAAGAGCAGUGGCAGGAUGACAACACUCUCCCAGCCACAUUCCCUCCAUGGCCUGCAACAGGGCCCAAGGUGUGCACUCACUCAGUGACAGUGUCUUGGAACCAGACCCACAGCUCUGCACCUGAUGGGGCCUGCAGGAAGGGUGGCCCCCAGUAUCGGGUCCUCCAAAAGCCUUGUGUGAAUGACAGGUGCAGCUCCCGUAGAGAAUACUUGGAGAUCAGCUGCCCCAGGGCUUUGGGAAAGAGCCUGUAAUGGGACACUGGGGAAACGGGAGCAGGUGAGUGACGAUCCCCACCUCGUCGGGGUCCACACCCAGGAUCCCGAACUCUACCCAGGAAUUAGGCCCCGCCCCCAAAGUUUGCCUUCAUCCCACGGCCGGCCAGCCAGCAGGCACUACGGAAAUCUUUCCCUGGUCAGAUCUCGCGCCCUCACCUCCUUCCCGCUGAAGCUCCGAAUCCCAGCGCGUGCGGAACUGGAAUGUGGCGGCUACGUCCCCGGAAGGCAGCGGGGUGAUGACAAGUUCCUCCCGCAGGCUGUCGCGUGGGGGUUCUGCAAGGCACCAGCCGCCGGGCCCCAGGAGCAACAGGACGAGCAGAGCAAGCGGCAUAGCCGCCGCCAUGCCUGCGGCUACUUCCGCCUACCCAGCGGCGCUCGGCCCCAUGAAAAGCCGGUAUCCAAUAAGAAAGGCGUGUGAGAAGUGACUUCCGCUGUCGUCCCGGAAACCGGGAUGCGGUUAUCAGAGCGACCGCCUGCGCAGGUCGCGAAGAUUCCCUCAGAGCUGGUGGGUCUAAGGGGGUACUGGGAGGACACGAGAGGGAGUAGGCAGGGCGAGUAACCAGCUUGAGGCCGCACCUAGUUCAUGGCGUAUUCCACCCACCAGGAAAUGCUUAAUAAUAUGAAGCUCCUUCACUGCCAUUUUACCCAUUUGAUAGUUGAGGAAACAUUGACUGAAAAAGAUCAAUUACUUUUGGGAAAACCAUUGUGGUUUUAAUUUGCAUUUCCCAAAGUAAGAGGAACCUCCUGCCCCUCUUAGCUUCUAGUGUCUCCAUUUGCUGCAAAACCCCCAAAUAAGUGGUUCUUUUAUUACGAAAAUGUUCAAACAAAAUUGAAAGAAUGAGCACCUGUUACAAUAAACCUAUUUUCCACCACCUAGAUUCUACUAUUUACAUUAUACUAUACUUGUACUUUACCACAUAUUUGUCUAUACAUCCAUCAUUCCAUCUUGUGUUUUGGUGCACUUCAAAGUAAAUUGCAGACAUUAGUACACUUUCCUUUAAGUAGUUAAGCAUGCAUAUAAUUAACUAGAGUUCAGUAUUCGAUUGCAUUUUGAUGUAAAAUUCACAUACAGUGAAAUGCACAAAUCCAAAGUACACAUUCACUGAGUUUUGACAAAUGCACACACCUAUGUAACCCGAACUCCUAUCAUGAUACAGAACAUUCCUAAAACCCCAGAAAAUUAGCAAUACCCUUUCCUAGUCAAUCCCUGCUCCUCUAUCACCUUCCAGAGGCAGUUAGUACCCUGAUUUUUUCCCACAAUAGAUUAAUCUGUUCCAGAACUAAAUAUAAAUGAAAUCAUAUAGUAUGUAUACUGUGUAAGGCUUUUUUUUUUCUCAUGGGAAGAAUGUUUUUGAGAAUCAUCCAUGUUCUUGCAUGUAUCCACAAUUCUUUUUAUUACUGCGUAGUAUUAUUAAUUUAUCCAUUCAACUCUUGAUGGGCACUUUUAAAGUUUUUGGUUAUUAUUAACAAGGCUGCUGUCUGUGCAAGCUCCUUUGUAGACGUAUAUUUCUCAUAUCCUUUGGCCAGGUAUUUAAGAGUGGAAUUGCUGGGUCAGAGAGCAGGUGUAUGUUUAAUUUUAUAAGAAACUGUCAGACCUUUCUCCAAAAUGUAUCAUUUUAUGUUUCCAUAAACUAUGAGUCUCCAUUGUACCACAUCCUGGUCAGCAUUUGAAGUUUCUAAUUUUUUGUACUUUUUAGUUUUGACCACUUGGGUAUGUAUGUAGUGUUUGCUCAUUGUGGUUUUAAUUUGCAUUUCCCUGGUAACUAAAAAUGUUAAGCAUCUGUUCAUGUGCUUAUUUGCCAUUUAUUUUUUAAUUUAAUUUUUAUUUUUUUGUGAAAGGUCUGUUAAAGUCUUC
rnacentral:lncRNA from 1 species